UGGCUCAGGAUGAACGCUGGCGGCGUGCCUAACACAUGCAAGUCGAACGGAGUUAUGACGCUGACGAGACUCGGUCAAAUCUUGUUGUAACUUAGUGGCGGACGGGUGAGUAACGCGUGGAUAACCUGCCAUAUACAGGGGGAUAACAGUUAGAAAUGACUGCUAAUACCGCAUAAGCGCACGGUCCCGCAUGGGACAGUGUGAAAAAACUCCGGUGGUAUAUGAUGGAUCCGCGUCUGAUUAGCCAGUUGGCGGGGUAACGGCCCACCAAAGCGACGAUCAGUAGCCGGCCUGAGAGGGUGAACGGCCACAUUGGGACUGAGACACGGCCCAAACUCCUACGGGAGGCAGCAGUGGGGGAUAUUGCACAAUGGGGGAAACCCUGAUGCAGCGACGCCGCGUGAGUGAAGAAGUAUUUCGGUAUGUAAAGCUCUAUCAGCAGGGAAGAUAAUGACGGUACCUGACUAAGAAGCACCGGCUAAAUACGUGCCAGCCGCCGC
rnacentral:rRNA from 1 species